rnacentral:rRNA from 1 species
AGAGUUUGAUCCUGGCUCAGAACGAACGCUGGCGGCAGGCCUAACACAUGCAAGUCGAACGAUGUAGCAAUACAUAGUGGCGCACGGGUGCGUAACGCGUGGGAAUCUUCCCUUAACUACGGAACAACAUCGGGAAACUGAUGCUAAUACCGUAUAAUGACUCCGGUCCAAAGAUUUAUCGGUUAAGGAUGAGCCCGCGUCUGAUUAGCUAGUUGGUGAGGUAACGGCUCACCAAGGCGACGAUCAGUAGCUGGUCUGAGAGGAUGAUCAGCCACACUGGAACUGACACACGGUCCAGACUCCUACGGGAGGCAGCAGUGAGGAAUAUUGGACAAUGGGCGCAAGCCUGAUCCAGCCAUGCCGCGUGAGUGAUGAAGGCCUUCGGGUUGUAAAGCUCUUUUAACUGUGAAGAUAAUGACGGUAGCAGUAGAAAAAGCCCCGGCUAAAUUCGUGCCAGCAGCCGCGGUAAUACGAAUGGGGCAAGCGUUGUUCGGAAUCACUGGGCUUAAAGCGUGCGUAGGCGGAUUUGAAAGUCAGAAGUGAAAUCCCCGGGCUUAACCCGGGAAUUGCUUUUGAAACUCCAAAUCUAGAAUCCUGGAGAGGUUAGCAGAAUUCCGAGUGUAGAGGUGAAAUUCGCAGAUAUUCGGAGGAAUACCAGUGGCGAAGGCGGCUAACUGGACAGGCAUUGACGCUGAGGUACGAAAGCGUGGGUAGCAAACAGGAUUAGAUACCCUGGUAGUCCACGCCGUAAACGAUGUGUGCUAGUUGUCGGUCCCUUAGGGGCCGGUGACGCAGCGAAAGUUUUAAGCACACCGCCUGGGGAGUACGGUCGCAAGAUUAAAACUCAAAGGAAUUGACGGGGACCCGCACAAGCGGUGGAGCAUGUUGUUUAAUUCGAAGCAACGCGAAGAACCUUACCCAUUCUUGACAUAUCCUUUAGGACUUUCAGAGAUGAUUGUUUUCGGUUCGGCCGGGAGGAAUACAGGUGCUGCAUGGCUGUCGUCAGCUCGUGUCGUGAGAUGUUUGGUUAAGUCCAGCAACGAGCGCAACCCUUAUCGUCUGUUACCAUCAUUAAGUUGGGUACUCUGACGAAACCGCCGGUGACAAGCCGGGGGAAGGUGGGGACGACGUCAAGUCAUCAUGGCCCUUACGAAUGGGGCUACAAACGUGCUACAAUGGCGUUGACAGUGCGCAGCCACUUCGCAAGAAGGAGCUAAUCGCAAAAAGACGUCUCAGUUCGGAUUGUCCUCUGCAACUCGAGGGCAUGAAGUUGGAAUCGCUAGUAAUCGGCCAUCAGCAUGGGCCGGUGAAUACGUUCCCGGGUCUUGUACACACCGCCCGUCAAGUGAUGGGAGUUGGCUUUACCUGAAGACGGUGCGCUAACAAUGAGGCAGCCGGCCACGGUAAGGUCAGUAACUGGCACUAAGUCGUAACAAGGUA